rnacentral:rRNA from 1 species
UGCAGUCGGACGGUAGCACAGAGGAGCUUGCUCCUCGGGUGACGAGUGGCGGACGGGUGAGUAAUGUCUGGGGAUCUGCCCGAUAGAGGGGGAUAACCACUGGAAACGGUGGCUAAUACCGCAUAACGUCGCAAGACCAAAGAGGGGGACCUUCGGGCCUCUCACUAUCGGAUGAACCCAGAUGGGAUUAGCUAGUAGGCGGGGUAACGGCCCACCUAGGCGACGAUCCCUAGCUGGUCUGAGAGGAUGACCAGCCACACUGGAACUGAGACACGGUCCAGACUCCUACGGGAGGCAGCAGUGGGGAAUAUUGCACAAUGGGCGCAAGCCUGAUGCAGCCAUGCCGCGUGUAUGAAGAAGGCCUUCGGGUUGUAAAGUACUUUCAGCGGGGAGGAAGGCGAUGUGGUUAAUAACCGCAUUGAUUGACGUUACCCGCAGAAGAAGCACCGGCUAACUCCGUGCCAGCAGCCGCGGUAAUACGGAGGGUGCAAGCGUUAAUCGGAAUUACUGGGCGUAAAGCGCACGCAGGCGGUCUGUUAAGUCAGAUGUGAAAUCCCCGGGCUUAACCUGGGAACUGCAUUUGAAACUGGCAGGCUUGAGUCUCGUAGAGGGGGGUAGAAUUCCAGGUGUAGCGGUGAAAUGCGUAGAGAUCUGGAGGAAUACCGGUGGCGAAGGCGGCCCCCUGGACGAAGACUGACGCUCAGGUGCGAAAGCGUGGGGAGCAAACAGGAUUAGAUACCCUGGUAGUCCACGCCGUAAACGAUGUCGACUUGGAGGUUGUUCCCUUGAGGAGUGGCUUCCGGAGCUAACGCGUUAAGUCGACCGCCUGGGGAGUACGGCCGCAAGGUUAAAACUCAAAUGAAUUGACGGGGGCCCGCACAAGCGGUGGAGCAUGUGGUUUAAUUCGAUGCAACGCGAAGAACCUUACCUACUCUUGACAUCCAGAGAACUUAGCAGAGAUGCUUUUAGUGCCUUCGGGAACUCUGAGACAGGUGCUGCAUGGCUGUCGUCAGCUCGUGUUGUGAAAUGUUGGGUUAAGUCCCGCAACGAGCGCAACCCUUAUCCUUUGUUGCCAGCGAUUCGGUCGGGAACUCAAAGGAGACUGCCGGUGAUAAACCGGAGGAAGGUGGGGGAUGACGUCAAGUCAUCAUGGCCCUUACGAGUAGGGCUACACACGUGCUACAAUGGCGCAUACAAAGAGAAGCGACCUCGCGAGAGCAAGCGGACCUCAUAAAGUGCGUCGUAGUCCGGAUCGGAGUCUGCAACUCGACUCCGUGAAGUCGGAAUCGCUAGUAAUCGUGGAUCAGAAUGCCACGGUGAAUACGUUCCCGGGCCUUGUACACACCGCCCGUCACACCAUGGGAGUGGGUUGCAAAAGAAGUAGGUAGCUUAACCUUCGGGAGGGCGCUA